rnacentral:lncRNA from 1 species
UUGCCCGGGGAACUAUCUAGAACUUUUACUGCUGCUUGGAAAAAAGUCACUGUUUCAUACAGCUUUAUUAAUAAAAUUUUUUAAUGCAGAUGACUUUUUAAAUUUUGAACAUGUUCAUCAAAAUUAUUUUGAACAUCUUUAAGUCACGUUUUGAUUGUUUUAUGUAAUCAGACUCUUGAUUAGAAAGAAUAACAGAAGGAACCGUAGAUGCACUCAAACUCCUAAAGUAAUUAUUUACAAGAAAUAAACUUUUUGCACGGUCUAAUGACAUUUUAUACAAUGAAAAUGUAUAAUAUUUUCAAAGUAACAGCAAUAAAAUAAUAAGUAAUGGUCAAAAUAAAUUUCAAAAUAUAAAGCAUAAAUGUCAGAAUCAAUAUUGGUUUUGCCGCAUUAGCUUGAAAAUUUACUGGUGGAAAAAUAGUAAUGGUUAAACACACAGAAAAGAUAAGUCAUAAAUGUCAGCCAGCCCUUAUUAACUGCCUCUGAAGGUACUACAAGGACAGCUUUGGCUGCUCCUAGCCUGCACUUACAGAAAUUGAAUUGCUUUGUGCAUUAACAAAAUGGAACUGGGCUGAACAAUGUCCAUAGAAAUGCUGAAUAGGCAAUUAUUUAAAAUGUUCUCCAAGAUUGAGGAAUAUAUUAACAGAAACCAAUAGCACAGCAAAUUAAAUGAUGAUUGAGCAGAACAUUACCUAAAAUUAGUACAGAAAUAUUUAUAGAAUGAAUGAAUGAAUUAAAUUGACUAUAAUAAAAUAUUGGCCAAGGUAGCGUGAAAAAAAAUUAAAGCAAAUUUAAAGUAAUUUUAUUGUGAACAAUUUCUUUGCAUUAAUUUUGUAAUAUCAGAAUGUUAUAUAGGCUUCUCCAUAAUGGUGUCCACUAAUAAUUUAAAGUUUUUCAAUAGGUGGAUGGUACAUUUUAAAAAAUUAACAACCAAAGUCUUCAUGAGGAACAAGAAAUGAUUUUCUAUUUGUUUCUAUUUGGCUCUCACUAUAGCAACUUAUAUAAUGCUUUGCAUGCAUGAAAUGUUUAAUUUUUAAAUUUAUUUUCUAGAGAUGGGGAUCUGGCUCUGUUGCCCAAGCUGGACCCCAGCUCCUAGCCUCAAGGGAUUCUCCUGCCUCAGCAUCCUGAGUAGUGGAAAAAUUUUAGUAAACAAUGGAUCUUAUUAUCACCAAUAAUUUUAUAAUUAACAUUAGCAUGUACAUGGGAUCUUUAAUACAUCUGGAGUUCAUUUUGAUUGCUCCUCUAAAAACUAAAAGACCAAGAAAAAAAUUCCCUCAAAGUAUUUGUUUCUUCCUCUUCCUAAGACCUGAUGCUUCUGUUAAAAGGCGCAGUUCUCACACCCACCUGCUCCUCCAUGCCUGUUUCUAGUGCAGUCAAGGAAAGUUUACCACAGUGGUACUUUUUAAAGGUAUAUUUUUAUCUUUGCAGCUCUAUCUGGUGUUUUCUCAGCUGCAUAUGUGACUUGCCUGGAAGACAUGGCUGGUAACUCCUAGAAGAAAUCUAAAUUUUAAAGAUGUAAUCAUUAAAAAAUACUUGUCAUUAUAGAUAGGUAGCUUUAUUGUUGUGGCUUUGUUUUUCUGUUUAAAAAAGCUGUUGAUUUUGCCUUUCUAACUUUUUGUGGAUAUACUACUGCCCCUAAAGGAAGAAAAUAUGUUUAAGGGAGACAUCAAAGUUUGUCUGUGUUCUUGUUGUUUUCCCCAAACCAAAAGACCUAAGAGAUUUAAUAAUUAUUAUAUUUGUUACUAUUAAGAUAUCAUUUGUAUGACCUCCUACUAAGUGAAACAAUGUAGUUAUUUAGUGUUUUAGAAUUUAUGUAUUAUUAAUAAGAAAAAGAUUUACUGAAAAUGAAAUAAGAUAUAUUCAUUUAGUCUAUUGCUUACAUAUGUAAGACAUGAGUCAUGAAUGUAUAGGUUUUUUCAUUUGAUCAAUUUCUUUACUAAUUACCUGUUGCUUUUUAAAAAAUAACAUACUCUGGAAAUUUACCAAAGUAGCAAAAUGCUUAAUUUUUAACUUUAUAAUUUUAUAACUACAUAACAUGACAUAUACAUACUUAAUACACUUAAUAUGUAAAAAGUUCUUACCAAUUAAUAAGAAAUGAAAAUGUUACAACUGAAAAAAAAUUAAAAAUAUGAUCAAUAAUUUAAAAACUAUAAUUAUCAAUAAAUACAUGAAGAUGUUCAACUUCAUUAAUGAUUGAACAAAUACAAAUUAAAAUAUGCUUUAUCAUCAGAUUGCAAAUAAUUUUUAAAAAUUCUAAUAAUUAAAAUUAUCCUAUUUAUGGAGAAAUAGGUAUUGGAAUGAGUGUAAAUUUGCAAUACAAAAUUGAUAAUGUAUAUUUAAAGUCCUAAUAAUAAACAUACUUUCUUGUCCCAAUAAUACAAUUUCUACAAAAUCCCUUUAUGGGAAAAAUUAAAUUUUACAGAGAAUUAUGUAAAAAAACACUUCAAUGUUAUUAAAGGGAAACUUGGAGAAAAAAAUAUCCAAUAGUAAGGGAUUAUUAAAUAGCAUAUCAUAGAUCCAUAAAAAGAAAUACUGUUCAGCUAUUAAAUAUAUUUAUAUUUUAUUAUUAUGCAAAGAAACACCUUAGCUUACAGAGCAGCAUAUAUGGUAUAUUUCCAAAAUUAUUUAAAAAUAUACAUUUAUACAGAUAUAUAUUUUCUAAAACUAUGUAUCAUGUGAAUAAAAAGGUUUGUCUUAUAUGUUCUUUUUUAAAAAAGCGUUUAUCAUAAGGAAAUAUCUGAACAUGAUUUAAUGUAUGUUAGCAUUGCUUCUCAGCCUUUUGGCUAAGAUCAAGUGUAAUAUGUUGUUAGCAAGGACACCUAAAUCUAUAUGAGGUUUCCAGAGAAGAAUAUGGUCACUACUGAACAUCUCUUCAUUUAACCAAUCCGAUUUGUGGUCUGUUGUUAAAUUGAAUUCAAACAAGAUAUAUCUCCUUUGAUUUUUAUUUCAUAACAUUUAGCAAAUAUUUUAUUUCAGAUACAAAUGAUAAGAUUUUGCCCAAUCAUCAUUCUUUGACACUGGCUACAAUCACAUGCCUCCAGUAAGCAAAAAUUUGCCCAAAAAUGUGGUAGUCAGAGGCAACUUUGAAAGGCUUAUUUCACACGUUCUUCUAAAAGAAGUUGAGUUGGUGAUACUUUUAUAGAACGUGCAAUUUCAUGAGCCAAUUUCUUUUUUUGCUAUUGAACAAUUCAAGAAGUAUUUUUAAGUUCUCUAUCAGUUUAGCAUCCACUUUUCUUUCAACAUUUUUUGCUGCUUUUAAAUACCUAAACACCUGCUUACACCAUAUAUAUCUGUGAUCAUGAAAAAUUACUGUAUUUCACUGUCGAUGAGUCCAAAGAAAAUAAUUAAACUCUGCCCUAGAAAAAUAAAAGCCAAAGAAAUAAUCCAAUUGAAUUAAUAGCUUGACCCUAAAUAACAGUUUGAGUCCAACAUUUCAUCAAAUAGGAAAAUUAGAAGGAUCUUGACUGAUUGUUUUCCUUUAUUGACAGUAGUAUAUUCAGGAAAAGGUAGAAUAAACCGCCUUUCUUUAAAGAAAAACAAAGCCAGCAGUGGUAAUUUUAAAAAAAACUACCUAUCCUUAAUGACAAGUAUUUUCUAAUCAUUGUUUUUAAAAUUAAUAUGUAUUGAGGAAAAGAAAAUUUUUAAUGUUUUCAACUAUAGUUAUUACACAUAUGCAGAAACAAAGCCUAUACUUAAUUAUAGGACAAUUGAUUGUUCCCAAAGCAUCUGAUUACUCUUUAAUUUAAAAAAAUACAUGUCUAUUUCAGUGAAUCACUAUUUGAAGUACAGAAAUACAAAGUACAGCCUAAACUUGAUAUUACUAUGUCCUCAAAUCACUGUAUCAUCUCUUCCAUGAAAUGAAUGUGACAAUAAUUUGUAUUUGCAAAUUCAUUCUAUUUUGGGAGCUGUUUCUGAAAACCAUCUGUAACCAAAGUAAACAAUAUUUUAAUGGGGGAUUACUGAGCUGGCUGAAUACAUUGUGAUGCAAUCAAAAGUUUUCUGGAAUUUUUCAAACCACAGUUUUAAGCUGCAUUUGAAUAAAACUUAGCUAUUAAGGGGAAAAAUAAUUCAUAAAAAAAUUUUUAGUCUUAAAUAUACUUUCAAUGUAUUUAACCAUCGUAAAUGUGAAGAUAAGAGUAUUGUAAAAAUACAUGAUAUCAGAGAAUUACUUAAAGAAAAAAACAUAUUUAAAUUUUGAGCCGCAUAUUUUUAUAGGUUCUUAGAGUUUGGUGUAGCAAUCCUGUUUUCUGGAGCCAUUUUUGUUCCUUUGUCUACGACUUCUAGCAACAUUUUGCAAGAGUUGAAAGCAGAAAUGUUGAGGUGCCCAUGAGGAUUGUUAUUCAUUACCCUGACCAGCUUUAGGCAGGAGAUAUAAAAACAUAACCAAAAAAGCCACUUUUAUGACAGUAUUUGCAGAUCAAUCCUGCGUAUUCCACGCUUGUAAGAUUUGGAAUGUUUGUAGCUGAAAUUUAUUUUUCUUUCUAGAUUGCUUUUUACUGAAAGAAUGCAACAAAGAGAGCUGCCAAGAAAAUACAGUUAUUCCCCCAAAUAGUUCAAAGAACUAUGCCAGUUACCAUGGACACCACAUGUUGAGAUGCUAAAGAGUCAGAAUGGGUCUGUGAGUGAUUAUCUGGAAUGCUGGACAUGUAGAGUUUGUAUGGAGAGUGAGUACUGCGCUAGACAUGGAACAAAUAGAGACCAAAGACAGCAAGACUGACGGCAGCUCAACGGGGGGAGAUAUAAUUCUUAUUUUUUUCAUCUUCCUUCAGGCACUGUAGAAGUCUCGCAUAUAUGAUCAUUUAAAAUUUCGCUGAAGUCAUGUCUGAAUUCUGCACACUGCCUUAUGGAUGUGGGAGAGGUGACUAAACUGAGUCAACGCAGUCAACCACCCAGGACUUGCAAUUCCAGGGGGUUGCAUCCACCUAACCCUCCGGGGUUCUGGCUUCGGAUAGUGUUUGAUCAAUGGAAGCAACAAAAGAAGAUUGGAGGACAUGAAGACAGGUUACUGGAUGAUAUUCGACAUGAGCUGCAAUCCUCCAUCUGAGGUCCCAACUUUUCCAGAAGGCUUCUGUCCUGUUGCGCUCAUUGGAUUCUGCAUUAUGGGAUUCUCUUGAAGUGUGUGAAGAAUAAUGAGCUAAAUAAAGAGGAAAAACAAAAGAAAACAAAAACUGCAGGGACUUUUAUAACUAUCAUUGAUUGCCAGCUUAAGCCUGCUGGACUCUUCACAAAACUAUAUAUGCUUCAAGCUUAAUAUUUAAUUUUGUAAUUGGAACAUUUAUAAUCAUAUUAUGCAUUUAAUAAGGAUGCUCUAAUUCAGAUUUACUAUUAUCAGGAAAUUAAAUUUGGAGUUACAGUAAUGCAUGCAUAUAUAUGUGUGGGUGUGAGUGUGCAUAUACCUAUAUAUGUAUAUACAUAUAUAAAGUAAACGCCUUCUUUUAACGUGUGUUUUAAGUAUAGCUUCCAUGUCCUAGUUAAUUCAGCACCCUCCCUUUUAUCCUUUCCUUGCCAUUGUCCUCUCUACUAGACUACAAUAAAAACAAAAAACUAUGAAAGUAAGCAGCUUAUAAUCAUAAUUUUAAUCAAUGUAGCCUAUGCAAGCUUUAAGAAACAUACGUCUAACAUCUUAGAAAGAAAGCUUAUGAACACAAACAGCAGAAUACUUAAAUACAUUUGAAACAUUCACAUUGAAUUGAUUCUACAAAAUUUUGAAGAGCAACAGCUUUUGAAUUUAGAGCUAUAAUCAGUACCCUAAAGUUUUUACCACUGAGUUACUACCUAGUAAAAAUAUGUUAUAUUUGCAAUAAAAGUACACAUUGUAAGGACAUAAGAAUUGUCAUCAAGGUACACAAACAUUUUAGAAUUAUUAAACAUUUAAAUAAAUGGAAAUUUUAAAAAUAAAAUAACAAUAUUAUCAUACAAGUUAAUGAUCCAGUUUAUUAAUUUCUAAUUCUAUUGAUAAAACAAGGGAUUAUUUUUGAAAGGGUUUUUCUAUCUUUCAUACAAACCCUUUCCAAAAAUGUAUAGAUACAGUACGGAUUCUACCUGAUCAUUCUUGUGCAUAUGGUGAUGUAAGAAACCAAAAAAAUGUAAAUUAUUUUCAUAACACUGUGAAAACCAAUAUUUAAAAAUACAGUGCACAAUUAGUAGUGAGUAACAUAUAUAAAUUUAGAAAUAUUAUAUUUCUGUACACAAAGUAACAUUAUAAAUGAAAGCUUCAGGAAUAAUGAGCUACUUAUUAUUCCGGAAAUUAUAUAUCAAAAAUUUCAAAUAUAGAGGAAAAUUAAAAACCCACUCAUGACCCAUGAAAAUUAAUAACCCAUUCGAUCAUACACUUACCAUGUAACUUUCUGUUAAUUUGGUAAUAAAUAAUGUCAAGAGAUUUUAAAUGAAAAUACUUAUUCUGAAACAUAAAAACAACAUCUGAGAUGAGCACAAAUGGAUCAAUAGAUACAUUAUUGAUUAUUUUGUAUCAUAAAAUACUAUCUAGUACAACAUUCUUUAAAAAAUUCAAUAUUUUUAUAAUGUAAGUAAAACGGGAAGAACUGUUAGAGAAAUGGGCAUCAGAUUUAGAUUAAUUCUGCCUCUAACGCAAAUUGUAGGCUGAGCCCUAUAUGUUCUUGACCAUUCUAAGUUUUACUACAUUAAAACACAUAAAAUAUUCUGCGAGGUUUUCUCCAAUGGGAUUUUGAAUCUCACUGAUGACUGUGAUUUAGGAGUAAUGUAGAGAGUUUUGCAACUAACUUUACUUUACACCGUUACUCCUUUUCUACUUGGGGGUUCAGUUCAACACGCUAGUAAAAGAAAUAGUCAUGAGAGCAUCCUAAGGAAAGUAGGCAAAAUGUUAGUGCCUCAUUAUAUUUACAAUCUUUACAAAACAUGUAUGUCAGUAAACCAUAUUAACAUCUAAAGCACAUGAUAUGUAGAAACAAAUUGUGACUACAAAAUGUGUCUUGUUUCUUAAAUAUGCUAAAUAGGAAAUAAAUCACAUCUACUUCAAUUUUUAA